GGGCGCGAGCGUUGUCCGGAUUUAUUGGGCGUACAGAGCGUGUAGGCGGCCAUGCAGGUCCGUUGUGAAAACUCGAGGCUCAACCUCGAGACGCCGGUGGAAACCGUAUGGCUAGAGUCCGGAAGAGGAGAGUGGAAUUCCUGGUGUAGCGGUGAAAUGCGCAGAUAUCAGGAAGAACACCCGUGGCGAAGGCGGCUCUCUGGGACGUGACUGACGCUGAGACGCGAAAGCGUGGGGAGCAAACAGG
rnacentral:rRNA from 1 species